rnacentral:pre_miRNA from 1 species
GUCUGUCUGCCCGCAUGCCUGCCUCUCUGUUGCUCUGAAGGAGGCAGGGGCUGGGCCUGCAGCUGCCUGGGCAGAGCGGCUCCU